ensembl:snRNA U6 U6 spliceosomal RNA
GUGUAGCUCGGCAGCACAUACAUUAAAACUGGAACAAUACAGAAGAUGAGCAUGGCCCCUGAACAAGAAUGACAUGCAAAUUCGUGAAGGGCUCCAUAUUGAA